UACAGAGGGCCCGAGCGUUGUUCGGAUUCAUUGGGCGUAAAGGGUGCGUAGGCGGCGGGGCAAGUCUGAUGUGAAAUCCCGGGGCUCAACCCCGGAACUGCAUUGGAUACUGCCUUGCUAGAGUACUGGAGAGGGAACUGGAAUUUACGGUGUAGCAGUGAAAUGCGUAGAGAUCGUAAGGAAGGCCAGUGGCGAAGGCGAGUUCCUGGACAGUGACUGACGCUGAGGCACGAAGGCCAGGGGAGCAAACGGG
rnacentral:rRNA from 1 species